CCUUACCUGGCCUUGACAUCCAGAGAACUUUCCAGAGAUGGAUUGGUGCCUUCGGGAACUCUGAGACAGGUGCUGCAUGGCCGUCGUCAGCUCGUGUCGUGAGAUGUUGGGUUAAGUCCCGUAACGAGCGCAACCCCUAUCCCUGGUUGCUAGCAGGUAAUGCUGAGAACUCCAGGGAGACUGCCGGUGACAAACCGGAGGAAGGUGGGGAUGACGUCAGGUCAUCAUGGCCCUUACGGCCAGGGCUACACACGUGCUACAAUGGCGCGUACAGAGGGCUGCCAACUCGCGAGAGUGAGCCAAUCCCUUAAAACGCGUCGUAGUCCGGAUCGGAGUCUGCAACUCGACUCCGUGAAGUCGGAAUCGCUAAAAUGGCGAAUCAGAAUGUCGCGGUGAAUACGUUCCC
rnacentral:rRNA from 1 species